CCCUUAGAUGUUCUGGGCCGCACGCGCGCUACACUGAUGCAUUCAACGAGCCUAUCUUUGACCGACAGGUCCGGGUAAUCUUUGAAUCUGCAUCGUGACGGGGAUAGAUUAUUGCAAUUAUUAAUCUUCAACGAGGAAUGCCUAGUAGGCGCAAGUCAUCAGCUUGCGUCGAUUACGUCCCUGCCCUUUGUACACACCGCCCGUCGCUCCUACCGAUUGGGUGUGCUGGUGAAAUGUUCGGAUCGGCCGUUUGUCGCGGUUUCCGCGUCAUGUGGCUGAGAAGUUCAUUAAACCCUCCCACCUAGAGGAAGGAGAAGUCGUAACA
rnacentral:rRNA from 1 species